GCCCGGUAACAAGUGCAUUAGGUGAAAACUCUUGCCUAAUUCCCGUUUUACACGACCGUAAACAUCACCUCGCCGCGCCGCUACCAUAAAUGGUCCGCGGCAGCAGAGAUAAAGCCGUCACCGCUGCUCUAUCGGUAUCAGUUUUCUCCCGUGGCUGAUACACUGCAAGAUCAAGGGCUGCAGACAGAUGAAGACCACAAAUGUUCCGGCUGACCUCACUUUCCGAAACGCAUCAUUCCCACAAAUAAACAUCAUUAACCAUAA